CCUACGGGGGUCAGCAGUGAGGAAUAUUGGUCAAUGGACGCAAGUCUGAACCAGCCAUGCCGCGUGCAGGAAGACGGCUCUAUGAGUUGUAAACUGCUUUUGUACGAGGGUAAACGCAGAUACGCGUAUCUGUCUGAAAGUAUCGUACGAAUAAGCAUCGGCUAACUCCGUGCCAGCAGCCGCGGUAAUACGGAGGAUUCAAGCGUUAUCCGGAUUUAUUGGGUUUAAAGGGUGCGUAGGCGGUCGGAUAAGUUAGAGGUGAAAUCCCGAGGCUCAACUUCGGAAUUGCCUCUGAUACUGGCCGGCUAGAGAGUAGUUGCGGUAGGCGGAAUGUAUGGUGUAGCGGUGAAAUGCUUAGAGAUCAUACAGAACACCGAUUGCGAAGGCAGCUUACCAGGCUACUUCUGACGUUGAGGCACGAAAGCGUGGGGAGCAAACAGGAUUAGAUACCCCAGUAGUC
rnacentral:rRNA from 1 species